GCGCCCUGCGGAGAUGGCAUGCCUCCCUGCGGUCGAUCCCGGCGCGUGGCGCGUGCGGUGCGGCCCUCAACCGCCGGGUUGCCCGGCUGAUGAUGCCUGCGUGUUC
rnacentral:ncRNA from 2 species